CUGUGGUGAGAGCAGCUGGGGUGAUUUUCUGGUGAAAGAACAUUGUGGAGCAGAGGGAUCACCACUCAAUGUGCUACCUGGAAGGGGUAAAGAAGAAAGGUUCAAGAGAAGGAUAGGUCUAAUUAUUAGUAGUGAUUUUAAUAAUAGCUCGUCAAUCACUGAUUGUCCAUAGUUUAGGAAGAAAAGAAGUCACCAGGCUUUGAAGUCAGUCCAUCUGUCCGUGCUUUUGAAACGGGAAUUGGGAGUGCAGGUUCUCCAGUGUACACGUGAGGAACAGAGUUUGUCUCAAAAGCCAUUCUGCAAAAACGAGAAGCAGAAAAGCUGUCCAGACCUUCUUUCCAGUCAGGGAAGCACCCAGCAUUGCCUUACUGAUGGACAGAGGCCUAUCACAUAUCCGCAUGCGCUCAUGAGGG
rnacentral:lncRNA from 1 species